rnacentral:SRP_RNA from 1 species
GCCGGGCGUGGUGGCUUGCCUGUAGUCCCAGCUAUUCGGGAGGCUGAGGCUGGAGGAUCUCUUGAGCCCAGGAGUUCUGGGCUGUAGUGCACUAUGCCGAUCGGGUGUCUGCACUAAGUUCAGCAUCAAUAUGGUGACCUCCCGGGAGCGGGGGACCACCAGGUUUCCUAAGGAGGGGUGAACCGGCCCAGGUUGGAAACGGAGCAGGUCAAAACUCCCGUGCUGAUCAGUAGUGGGAUCGCGCCUGUGAAUAGCCACUGCACUCAAGCCUGGGCAACAUAGCAAGACCCUGUGUCU